UACGUAGGGUCCGAGCGUUGUCCGGAAUUAUUGGGCGUAAAGAGCUCGUAGGCGGUGUGUCACGUCGGCCGUGAAAACCUGCAGCUUAACUGUGGGCGUGCGGUCGAUACGGGCAUCACUGGAGUUCGGCAGGGGAGACUGGAAUUCCUGGUGUAGCGGUGAAAUGCGCAGAUAUCAGGAGGAACACCGGUGGCGAAGGCGGGUCUCUGGGCCG
rnacentral:rRNA from 1 species